rnacentral:rRNA from 1 species
CAAUAGCGUAUAUUUAAGUUGCUGCAGUUAAAAAGCUCGUAGUUGGAUUUCGGGUGGGAAUGGCCGGUCCGCCGUUUCGGUGUGCACUUGCUACGCCAACCUUGCGGCCGGGGACGUGCUCUUGAGUUCACGCUCGGGACACGGAGUCGGCGAGGUUACUUUGAGUAAAUUAGAGUGUUCAAAGCAGGCCUACGCUCUGAAUACAUUAGCAUGGAAUAACACGAUAGGACUCUGGCCUAUCUUGUUGGUCUGUAGGACCGGAGUAAUGAUUAAGAGGGACAGUCGGGGGCAUUCGUAUUUCAUUGUCAGAGGUGAAAUUCUUGGAUUUAUGAAAGACGAACUACUGCGAAAGCAUUUGCCAAGGAUGUUUUCAUUAA